rnacentral:rRNA from 1 species
CUGCCCUUCAGAGUUUGAUCCUGGCUCAGAACGAACGCUGGCGGCAUGCCUAACACAUGCAAGUCGAACGAGACCUUCGGGUCUAGUGGCGCACGGGUGCGUAACGCGUGGGAAUCUGCCCAAAGGUUCGGAAUAACUCGGGGAAACCCGAGCUAAUACCGGAUAAUGUCUUCGGACCAAAGAUUUAUUGCCUUUGGAUGAGCCCGCGUCGGAUUAGCUAGUUGGUGAGGUAAAGGCUCACCAAGGCGACGAUCCGUAGCUGGUCUGAGAGGAUGAUCAGCCACACUGGGACUGAGACACGGCCCAGACUCCUACGGGAGGCAGCAGUGGGGAAUAUUGGACAAUGGGCGAAAGCCUGAUCCAGCAAUGCCGCGUGAGUGAUGAAGGCCUUAGGGUUGUAAAGCUCUUUUACCCGGGAUGAUAAUGACAGUACCGGGAGAAUAAGCUCCGGCUAACUCCGUGCCAGCAGCCGCGGUAAUACGGAGGGAGCUAGCGUUGUUCGGAAUUACUGGGCGUAAAGCGCGCGUAGGCGGCUUUGUAAGUUAGAGGUGAAAGCCCGGAGCUCAACUCCGGAACUGCCUUUAAGACUGCAUCGCUAGAAUCCGGGAGAGGUGAGUGGAAUUCCGAGUGUAGAGGUGAAAUUCGUAGAUAUUCGGAAGAACACCAGUGGCGAAGGCGGCUCACUGGACCGGUAUUGACGCUGAGGUGCCAAGGCGUGGGGAGCAAACUGGAUUAGAUACCCUGGUAGUCCACGCCGUAAACGGUGAUGACUAGCUGGCGGGGGCCUUAGGCUUUCGGUGCGGCAACUAAGGCGUUAGGUCUUCGG